rnacentral:lncRNA from 1 species
CUGUGACUGGGUUAUUUAGGUGCUACUGAAGGUGAUGAGGCCUCUCAGAGGAGGAAGGAACGGUACAGAAUGGAGCUGCUACAGCAAAUAGCCAAACAACAGAAGAACAAAAGGAAGGAGAAGGAGCUAGAGUUGGGAGUGGCUGCAACAGGCGCUGUUGAUCCCAAAAAAAAGCCAAACAGAAUAAAACAAUUUGGUGCCGUGACCCGGGAACGCGAGGGUAGGAGAAUGGAUGUAUCCUACCACCCAGGGCUGGGUCUGGAGGAGUUCAGGGCUGACUCUGCCAGGUGGCUCAAAGAAGAGCGAUCUCCACAGCCACCAAAGGAGACAGCACCCCCUGAGAGACCCCGUGUUGCUUUCCAGUCUCCAUCUCUAGACCAUAGCACUGUCUUAAGCCAGCUAGCUAACACACCAGGCCUUGGUCUGGAGGCUGGAGCAGGGUUUGGGGCCAAUGAUACCACCUCUCUUACUGAAGACAAUCACAGAAGCCUCUCAAGAACCCUGGGGGAGAUAGUUGCCCCAAGGUUUGUCUUAGAUUUUGAGUUAUGUUCUUAGAUUUUGCACUGAAACAACAAUUGUACUGACAUGUAAUGUAAUUGUACUGAAAACAAAAGAUAAGCUAUGUAAUAACAUACCUUAAUAAAUAAUAAUACUAUAU